rnacentral:rRNA from 1 species
AGUGAACGCUGGCGGUAGGCCUAACACAUGCAAGUCGAACGGCAGCACAGUAAGAGCUUGCUCUUACGGGUGGCGAGUGGCGGACGGGUGAGGAAUACAUCGGAAUCUACUUUUUCGUGGGGGAUAACGUAGGGAAACUUACGCUAAUACCGCAUACGACCUACGGGUGAAAGCAGGGGAUCUUCGGACCUUGCGCGAUUGAAUGAGCCGAUGUCGGAUUAGCUAGUUGGCGGGGUAAAGGCCCACCAAGGCGACGAUCCGUAGCUGGUCUGAGAGGAUGGAGGCCCAACGUGAAGCGGAGAGCGCGUCCGGGCCCUGAGGGAAGGCAGAGGUGGGGAAUUUUGGAAAAAGGGGGGAAGCUUGAACAAGCCAACCCGGGUGGGUGAAGAAGGCCUGCGGGUGGGAAAGCCCUUUUUUGGGGAAAAAAAACCGGCGGUUUAAACCCCGGCUGUUUGAAGGGAACCCAAAAAAAAGCCACCGCCAACUUUGUG